rnacentral:rRNA from 1 species
AGUGAACGCUGGCGGUAGGCCUAACACAUGCAAGUCGAACGGCAGCACAGUAAGAGCUUGCUCUUACGGGUGGCGAGUGGCGGACGGGUGAGGAAUACAUCGGAAUCUACUUUUUCGUGGGGGAUAACGUAGGGAAACUUACGCUAAUACCGCAUACGACCUACGGGUGAAAGCAGGGGAUCUUCGGACCUUGCGCGAUUGAAUGAGCCGAUGUCGGAUUAGCUAGUUGGCGGGGUAAAGGCCCACCAAGGCGACGAUCCGUAGCUGGUCUGAGAGGAUGAGCAGCCACACUGGAAAUGAGACACGGUCCAGACUCCUACGGGAGGCAGCAGUGGGGAAUAUUGGACAAUGGGCGCAAGCCUGAUCCAGCCAUACCGCGUGGGUGAAGAAGGCCUUCGGGUUGUAAAGCCCUUUUGUUGGGAAAGAAAAGCAGCAGGUUAAUACCCCGCUGUUCUGACGGUACCCAAAGAAUAAGCACCGGCUAACUUCGUG